UACGGAGGGUGCUAGCGUUGUUCGGAAUUACUGGGCGUAAAGCGCGCGUAGGCGGCUUUGUAAGUUAGAGGUGAAAGCCCGGAGCUCAACUCCGGAACUGCCUUUAAGACUGCAUCGCUUGAAUCCGGGAGAGGUGAGUGGAAUUCCGAGUGUAGAGGUGAAAUUCGUAGAUAUUCGGAAGAACACCAGUGGCGAAGGCGGCUCACUGGACCGGCAUUGACGCUGAGGUGCGAAAGCGUGGGGAGCAAACAGG
rnacentral:rRNA from 1 species